rnacentral:rRNA from 1 species
ACGUGCCAGCAGCCGCGGUAAUACGUAGGGUGCAAGCGUUAUCCGGAAUUAUUGGGCGUAAAGGGCUCGUAGGCGGUUCGUCGCGUCCGGUGUGAAAGUCCAUCGCUUAACGGUGGAUCCGCGCCGGGUACGGGCGGGCUUGAGUGCGGUAGGGGAGACUGGAAUUCCCGGUGUAACGGUGGAAUGUGUAGAUAUCGGGAAGAACACCAAUGGCGAAGGCAGGUCUCUGGGCCGUCACUGACGCUGAGGAGCGAAAGCGUGGGGAGCGAACAGGAUUAGAUACCCUGGUAGUCCACGCCGUAAACGGUGGAUGCUGGAUGUGGGGACCAUUCCACGGUCUCCGUGUCGGAGCCAACGCGUUAAGCAUCCCGCCUGGGGAGUACGGCCGCAAGGCUAAAACUCAAAGAAAUUGACGGGGGCCCGCACAAGCGGCGGAGCAUGCGGAUUAAUUCGAUGCAACGCGAAGAACCUUACCUGGGCUUGACAUGUUCCCGACAGCCGUAGAGAUACGGUCUCCCUUCGGGGCGGGUUCACAGGUGGUGCAUGGUCGUCGUCAGCUCGUGUCGUGAGAUGUUGGGUUAAGUCCCGCAACGAGCGCAACCCUCGCCCUGUGUUGCCAGCACGUCGUGGUGGGAACUCACGGGGGACCGCCGGGGUCAACUCGGAGGAAGGUGGGGAUGACGUCAGAUCAUCAUGCCCCUUACGUCCAGGGCUUCACGCAUGCUACAAUGGCCGGUACAACGGGAUGCGACACUGUGAGGUGGAGCGGAUCCCUUAAAACCGGUCUCAGUUCGGAUUGGAGUCUGCAACCCGACUCCAUGAAGGCGGAGUCGCUAGUAAUCGCGGAUCAGCAACGCCGCGGUGAAUGCGUUCCCGGGCCUUGUACACACCGCC